CUGAACUGAUUUUGAUUAUAGACUGUAAGAGUCCCCGCAGACCACAAACUUUUUAUCGGCCGAUAGUUUGGUCGGUUUCUUAAUCAGUAUGAAGAUGUAUGUAAGUGCGCAAAUUAUAAAGAUUCGGUAUCGGUCGAUAAAAAAAUUUGAUGGGCUAUACGAUUGCCUUCAAACUGAACUGUCGGCGUACUAUCGGCCGACUGCUAAAUCAGUAUGGCGCUCUUCCACGCGCGCACAUUACCGAUUAUUUAGUCGGCCGAUAGUUCACUUUACUCCGAGCUUUGGCGCUGGCUGGUCAUGCGCAUUUGUC